rnacentral:tRNA from 1 species
AAGAUAAGAAAUUCAAGAAUAAACUUCUAAUUUAAUUCUUAAGCAAUGAAAUUUGUUUUUAUCUUU